CAGUGGGUAUUUUAAUAAAAAAUAUUAAUUUUGGAGAUUAAAGAAAAAGAAAUUUUCUUUUCUACUGA
rnacentral:tRNA from 1 species